UGCCAGCAGCCGCGGUAAUACGGAGGGUGCAAGCAUUAAUCGGAUUUAUUGGGCGUAAAGUGCGUGCAGGCGGGAAAAUAAGUCUGAUGUGAAAGCCCGGGGCUCAACCCCGGAAGUGCAUUGGAAACUGGCGAACUUGAGUACGGGAGAGGAAAGUGGAAUUCCGAGUGUAGGGGUGAAAUCCGUAGAUAUUCGGAGGAACACCAGUGGCGAAGGCGGCUUUCUGGACCGAUACUGACGCUGAGACGCGAAAGCGUGGGGAGCAAACAGGAUUAGAUA
rnacentral:rRNA from 1 species